rnacentral:rRNA from 1 species
UACGUAGGCAGCGAGCGUUGUUCGGAGUUACUGGGCGUAAAGCGCGCGCAGGCGGCGACGCCAGCCCGGCGUGAAAGCCCCCGGCUCAACCGGGGAGGGUCGUCGGGGACGACGUCGCUUGAGGACGGCAGGGGCCGGUGGAAUGCCCGGUGUAGUGGUGAAAUGCGUAGAGAUCGGGCAGAACACCCGUGGCGAAGGCGGCCGGCUGGGCCGAUCCUGACGCUGAGGCGCGAAGGCGUGGGGAGCGAACGGG